AUCCUUUUGUAGUUGAUAAGUGUGAUGAUUGGGUGUGAGAUGUGCCUUCCUUAAACCUUGUUAUAAACCUCGUUAGCACAUUACCUGUCUGAUG
ensembl:snoRNA